ensembl:lncRNA
UGGGAUCCAUCUGUGCCCCAUAGAUCUCACGGUGUGGGGCAGAGUCCCUCCGUGCCCCAUAGAUCUCACGGCGUGGGAGACCCAUAAGGACAUGUUGGGACCCAUAGAUGUGGGGCAGACCCAUAGGGACACGUUGGGACCCAUAGAUGUGGGGCAGACCCAUAGAUGUGGGGCAGACCCAUAGGGACACGUUGGGACCCAUAGAUGUGGGGCAGACCCAUAGGGACACGUUGGGACCCAUAAAUGUGGGGCAGACCCAUAGGGACACGUUGGGACCCAUAAAUGUGGGGCAGAUCCAUAGGGACACGUUGGGACCCAUGGAUGUGGGACAGACCCAUAGGGACACGUUGGGACCCAUAGAUGUGGGGCAGACCCAUAGAUGUGGGGCAGACCCAUAGGGACACGUUGGGACCCAUAGAUGUGGGGCAGACCCAUAGGGACACGUUGGGACCCAUGGAUGUGGGACAGACCCAUAGGGACACGUUGGGACCCAUAAAUGUGGGGCAGACCCAUAGAUGUGGGGUGGGACCCCCCCAGUGCCCCCCAAGUGCUCACAGCCACCACUGCUCACUACCAACACUACUUUAUUGUACGGCAGCGCCAUGGGGUGGGACCCAUAGAUGUGGGGCAGACCCAUAGAUGUGGGGCAGACCCAUAGAUGUGGGCUGGGACCCAUAGAUGUGGGGUGGGACCCAUAGAUGAGGAACAGACCCAUAGAUGUGGGGCAGACCCACAGAUGUGGGGUGGGACCCAUAGAUGAGGGGCAGACCCAUAGAUGAGGAACAGACCCAUAGAUGUGGGGUGGGACCCAUAGAUGAGGGGCAGACCCAUAGAUGUGGGGCGGGACCCAUAGAUGUGGAGCAGACCCACAGAUGUGGGGUGGGACCCAUAGAUGUGGGGCAGAGUCACCACUGUGGGGCAGAGGCCUCAUCUAUGGGGCAGAGCCAUGGGGUAGAGGCCUCAUCUAUGGGGCAGUCGCCAUCUGUGGGGCAGAGGCAUCAUCUAUGGGGCAGAGGACUCAUCUAUGGGGCAGAGGCCCCAUCUAUGGGGCGGAGGCGCGAUGUGUGGGGCAGAGCCAUGGGGUAGAGGCCUCAUCUAUGGGGCACAGGCAUCAUCAAUGGGGCAGAGGCCCCAUCCAUGGGGCAGAGGCAUCAUCUAUAGGGCACAGGCCUCAUCUAUGGGGCGGAGGCCUCAUCUAUGGGGCACAGGCCUCAUCAAUGGGGCAGAAGCAUCAUCUAUGGGGCAGAGCCAUGGGGCAGAAGCCUCAUCUAUGGGGCAGAGCCAUGGGGCAGAGGCCUCAUCAAUGGGGCAGAGCCGCCAUCUAUGGGGCAGAGGCCUCAUCUAUGGGGCAGAGCCAUGGGGCAGAAGCCUCAUCUAUGGGACAGAGGCCUCAUCUAUGGGGUACAGGCCUCAUCUAUGGGGCAGAGGCCUCAUCUAUGGGGCAGAGGCCCCAUCUGUGGGGCGGAGGCGCGAUGUGUGGGGCAGAGCCAUGGGACAGAGGCCUCAUCUAUGGGGCAGAAGCAUCAUCUAUGGGGCAGAGGCCUCAUCUAUGGGGCAGAAGCCUCAUCUAUGGGGCAGAGGCCCCAUCCGUGGGGCAGAGGCGCGAUGUGUGGGGCUCAGUAGUUGGAGGAGCGCUCCUGCUGUCUGUAGGCCCCACGGCGAAGGUAACCGCCGUCCCCCUUCCGGUAGCCGUCCUUCUGAUCUGUGGGGCACAGGAACACUUAUGGGGCACAGCAGCACUUAUGGGGCAGAGAGGUACUUAUGGGGCACAGAAACACGGGGCAGAGGAGUACUUAUGGGGCACAGGAACACUUAUGGGGCACAGAAACACGGGGCAGAGGAGCACUUAUGGGGCAGAGGAACACUUAUGGGGCAGAGAGGCACUUAUGGGACAGAAGAGCACUUAUGGGGCACAGAAACAUGGGGCAGAGGAGUACUUAUGGGGCAGAGGAGCACUUAUGGGGCAGAGAGGUACUUAUGGGGCACAGAAAGACGGCAGAGGAGCACUUAUGGGGCACAGGAACACUUAUGGGGCAGAAAGGCACUUAUGGGGCAGAGAGGUACUUA